rnacentral:rRNA from 1 species
AUUGAACGCUGGCGGCAGGCCUAACACAUGCAAGUCGAGCGGAUGACGGGAGCUUGCUCCUUGAUUCAGCGGCGGACGGGUGAGUAAUGCCUAGGAAUCUGCCUGGUAGUGGGGGACAACGUUUCGAAAGGAACGCUAAUACCGCAUACGUCCUACGGGAGAAAGCAGGGGACCUUCGGGCCUUGCGCUAUCAGAUGAGCCUAGGUCGGAUUAGCUAGUUGGUGAGGUAAUGGCUCACCAAGGCGACGAUCCGUAACUGGUCCGAGAGGAUGAUCAGUCACACUGGAACUGAGACACGGUCCAGACUCCUACGGGAGGCAGCAGUGGGGAAUAUUGGACAAUGGGCGAAAGCCUGAUCCAGCCAUGCCGCGUGUGUGAAGAAGGUCUUCGGAUUGUAAAGCACUUUAAGUUGGGAGGAAGGGCAGUAAGUUAAUACCUUGCUGUUUUGACGUUACCGACAGAAUAAGCACCGGCUAACUCUGUGCCAGCAGCCGCCGUAACAC